rnacentral:rRNA from 1 species
GGGGCCCGCACAAGCGGUGGAGCAUGUGGUUUAAUUCGAUGCAACGCGAAGAACCUUACCUGGUCUUGACAUCCACGGAAGUUUUCAGAGAUGAGAAUGUGCCUUCGGGAACCGUGAGACAGGUGCUGCAUGGCUGUCGUCAGCUCGUGUUGUGAAAUGUUGGGUUAAGUCCCGCAACGAGCGCAACCCUUAUCCUUUGUUGCCAGCGGUCCGGCCGGGAACUCAAAGGAGACUGCCAGUGAUAAACUGGAGGAAGGUGGGGAUGACGUCAAGUCAUCAUGGCCCUUACGACCAGGGCUACACACGUGCUACAAUGGCGCAUACAAAGAGAAGCGACCUCGCGAGAGCAAGCGGACCUCAUAAAGUGCGUCGUAGUCCGGAUUGGAGUCUGCAACUCGACUCCAUGAAGUCGGAAUCGCUAGUAAUCGUGGAUCAGAAUGCCACGGUGAAUACGUUCCCGGGCCUUGUACACACCGCCCGUCACACCAUGGGAGUGAGUUGCAAAAGAAGUAGGUAGCUUAACCUUCGGGAGGGCGCUUACCACUUUGUGAUUCAUGACUGGGGUGAAGUCGUAACAAGGUAACCGUAGGGGAACCUGCGGUUGGAUCACCUCCUUA